rnacentral:lncRNA from 1 species
AGUUUUAACUACAUUGUAACUAUGUGAAUCCCCAUUUCAUUAUACAUGUAGAUGAAUUCCGCCUUCAAAUAAUCUUGCAUUGUCAAAGUAUCUCAAAGUUUCGAAGCAGCUGACCAAAGCAACGCGGCUCCCAGCUCAGGCGGCCAGUAGACCCCAGCAGCUAGCAGUGUUCGUGUGUAGCUGUGUGUUUUUUCUCGAGCAUUUAUUAGUGAUCAAGGUGGAAGAGGACUGCCGUGGCGCUACUCAAGGCCCAGCAGAGCGGUGAGUGCGCGGCUCGGCGCGGAGGUCGAGGUGGCUUGAGUGCCGCUGGCGUGUUCAAUUGUCGCCGUGGGUCUCCUCAGCGGUCACGUUUGACACAAGAGAUGGUGGUGGUGUGUCAUGCAGUGAGGCUCGUUAGUUCCAGCUUGAUGGACGCAGGCCUUUAGAAAGCGACUGAAUAGAAGAAUAGAGAUGCUUAUCCUAAAAGUACGAGAUUAUUCUGAUAAUAUUAAGUAACACGAUCGUCGUCAUCUGAGGGC